AUGUAUAAAGAUGACGUUAAGGAGGGAAUAACUUACUUACAAUUAUUGUGGCGGAGAUUUAACCGAUUCAUAAGGUCAACAAUUACAGCUAAGUAUAAUGCUGUCUUUUUUUCUUCUAUUAACUCUACUGUUUUAUUUCAUACUAUGGAACAAACAACAACAUCAAAAUCACAUCACAGAGUAUUGUUUCUUAUCAACAUUAUUUCUUAUUCAUCUUUAACUCAGAGUAUUCUUUUACAACACCACACAAUGAGCAUCACCAAAAUCACUUUCUCCCUCCUUCUUCAUUGUCGGUUUCUUUUUUUAAAAGCAUCCAUUUUUUAUAUUUUGUUUUUCUUUGAUUAA